CUUUGCAUUACAGAUUUUGGUUUCUCGCAAACUUGUAAAGAGAAACAAAGGUAUCGCGCGCAUAUAAAUCGGCAGCAAAACUCCUUUCAGCAGACGCCGUAAGCGGUCACAGCGUGUCAGUACCACACUACAUACUGUGAAUAUCCACGUAAAUACGUGUCCGGAGAGCUUCGAUGCAACAGGGGAUGGCUUUUUGUGGCAGUUCUUUCAGUUAUGCUUGCUCUAAUACAUAAAACUCUUUUAAAAUAAUGUAUAUAGACUGGCAAAAGCCGCUGUGCGCAGCCGCAGGCCCGAAAAAACUGACGGACCGUACGUGUUUGCGUUUACGGAAGAGACCUAGUCCCUGAAUACACGCGCCUUUGUAAUGACGUGUUCAGAGUGAUCAGCAUGGGUCCGCUGUCUUUCCGUGUUGCGUUUGCACGUGUAACCUUAUCUACGUCAAAUUCCACUGCAUUCCUGGUGAGCGCCACUACGCAAGUCAUUGCAGGUUUCAGCGCUGCUCGGGAAAGGAAAAAAACUCCACCAACCGAGGUAAUUCGACAGGGAGAAGUUUGAAAAUUCCACCCCUCUUUCUUGCAUCGUAUGCGGAAGGAGGCAGAGCAACAAUGCACUUCCACGGAGCGAAUCGGGGCGGUGAAUCCAGUGUUCCGACUUUCUGGGAUCGUGGUCAGCUGGAGAAGAGUAAAACUACAGCAGCAUUGCCUGAGGUGUUGUGUGCAGACGGCCCUCCGUCGCAAAGCGCUGCUGCCUCACUCAUUUCCUCCAAACACUAAAAUGCCGUCUUCCCAUGCAAGUGUUACUGUACGUUGACCGGUCUCGUUGCAUAUGUGAGUCUCCGCUUAGGCUGCGGCGGCAUCUCCGUAAGCCAGUGCACCGCCAUCCGAGGGAUUUCUGGGCAUCUGGUCAUAGCGUGUUUAGCCACGUUCAUUCGUGUGCAGAAUGAAUUUUCUGAUUACUAGUACCGACGCGAAUAAGUAAAAACGAUCUGGCUACGGUCUGGCAAGCAGGAUUAAGUAAGACGACGCUUUGAUCCGGCGCCCCUGCUCUAAUGCCGAAAACACGACCGUACGACCCGAAACAGAACUACACUGUGCUCGCCAGCAUUGCGAAAUAGAAGGCACAGUACAAUUCAAAAAAGCAUUAAUGAGAAAACUGUUACGUGUCAUGCUUCCUCUUGCUGCGGGAUUCGCCCGAUGAACCUUCAAGAUGCGUAGCCACGUAGCUGGCCAUAAAGGAGAUACUUCUCAAGGACGCGGUUUUGAGCGCGUACCCAUCUCCCGAGGCGCGUAGAAAUGGUGAAGUGUUGAUUCCACAGAAACUUCGCUAGGUUUCAAAUUAUGUAUACGAAGCGAAGAGCGUCCCCUGAAAGACUCUGGCGUGAGCCGGCCAUACCGAGUUCUCAAGCAGACUGUGUCAUGCUAAUUUCGCCAACUUUAAGAGAACCAUACACAACACCAGACGCUUUUGCAGAUGACUAAACAGUCUUUAGAAAAGCCCAAUCGACGGAAAGGCCCC
rnacentral:lncRNA from 1 species